rnacentral:rRNA from 1 species
CAGUCGCCACGGGAAUACGUAGGGUGCAAGCGUUAAUCGGAAUUACUGGGCGUAAAGCGUGCGCAGGUGGUUCGUUAAGACAGAUGUGAAAUCCCCGGGCUUAACCUGGGAACUGCAUUUGUGACUGGCGGGCUAGAGUAUGGCAGAGGGGGGUAGAAUUCCACGUGUAGCAGUGAAAUGCGUAGAGAUGUGGAGGAAUACCGAUGGCGAAGGCAGCCCCCUGGGCCAAUACUGACGCUCAUGCACGAAAGCGUGGGGAGCAAACAGGAUUAGAUACCCCCGUAGUCCCUGUCUCUUAUAC